UUGGAGGGCAAGUCUGGUGCCAGCAGCCGCGGUAAUUCCAGCUCCAAUAGCGUAUAUUAAAGUUGUUGCAGUUAAAAAGCUCGUAGUUGAAUUUCGGAGUUUGUCGGUUGGUCGGGCUUCAUUGUCCGCACUGGCCUGAUGGAUUCCUACCUUCUGAAUAACCAGCAUGCUAUUAAGUUAGUGCGUUGGGGAAGCAGAGCUAUUACCUUGAAAAAAUUAGAGUGCUUAAAGCAGGCUUAUGCUUGAAUAGAUUAGCAUGGAAUAAUAAAAUAGGACGGCAUGGUUCUAUUUUGUUGGUUUCUAGGAUCACCGUAAUGAUUAAUAGGGAUAGUUGGGGGCAUUAGUAUUCAAUUGUCAGAGGUGAAAUUCUUGGACUUAUUGAAGACUAACUUCUGCGAAAGCAUUUGCCAAGGAUGUUUUCAUUAAUCAAGAACGAAAGUUAGGGGAUCGAAGACGAUCAGAUACCGUCGUAGUCUUAACCAUAAACUAUGCCGACUAGGGAUCGGACGAUGUUAAUUUUUUAAUGACUCGUUCGGCGCCUUACGGGAAAC
rnacentral:rRNA from 1 species